AAUGUUUUUUUUAAGGGAAAUAAAGAUGAAAAAAGCUUAAUAGAUUCAUUCCUGCAUAACUGGAUUUCAACCACUUCUCCCCUUGAGUGGCAUUUCCCACAGCCAGAGCUAAACUCAAGUUUCAGUGGAUUCUUUGGCUGGCGGGACUGUUAGUUAGCCCUGGAAGUCAGAGGACACAACUUAGUCAUUUUGAGGCUCCUGGGAACCCCAUAGUCAGGCUGAAGAGCAGAGGCCUCACUGUAGACAGUCCUGGGUUCUAAUAGUGACUCAGCUGUGGGCCUGGGAAGGAAACCCCUCCAACCUGUUGAUCCAUCACUAAAUCAGGAUAAGCAUACUUACCUUGCCGGUUGGUGUGCUGACUCAUUAAAUGCUCUAGUAUAGACGUGUAUUUACAGCCCCAGCACGCUCUCGGGCACCUAGUGCCUUCACAAUGCUGGAGUCUGGCGCAGAAGGGGGCUCAGGAGCUGUCUGUAGAGUCUCAUUCCUCAAAGGGAUUAUUCACGGGUUAGUAACAGCCUAUCGGGAAGGACAAUGGUCCCUUGUUGUUCUCCUUCCCAUCAUUGCUAGCCAGGCCUAUUUAUAAGCUAGAGGAUUCCUCAAGAGUGACUCACCUGCCACACAGCUAUUCCAGGGAGACCUUAUCACAUGCUUCCUGCCUUGCCAGCUGGCUUCUGCCCUGGGCUCUCCUGGUCUCAUCUCAGCUAGCCCAGCCCAGAGAUGUCUGUCGGUGCCCUCAGCUCAGUCACCUCUAGACUUGAGACGUCAGCUCUGGGACCCUUGACGGUUUUCUUCCUUCCAUCACAAAAAUGCCCAAGAAAAAGCAGCAAGAAAGCUCGCGUUCUAGGAGGAAUAAGCAUUUUUAAGCCUUGCCUUCUCCCGGCAGCACUUGGUUUUCUUUCCUGCUAAAGGUGAAGAUUCUGUUCUAGGGAGAGGGAGCUUUGGUAUCUACCCCAGGGUCAAGGGCAAGGGUGUCCUGGGGAUCCUCCUUGGUGCUCCUCUGAGCCUGCCUGUGAUCGGUUGAAGUCUGCCAUCAGCUUCUUCCACGUCUCUGCCUUCCUGCUAUUUUCAUUAACAAUCUACCUUUAGGAGCGCCUGGGUGGCUCAGUAGUUGAGCGUCUGCCUUCAGUUCAGGUGGUGAUCCCAGAGUCCUGGGAUUGAGUUCCGCAUUGGGCUCCCCGCAGGAGGCCUGCUUCUCCCUCUGCCUGUGUUUCUGUCUCUCUCUAUGUGUCUCUCGUGAAUACAUAAAUAAAAUCUUAUUU
rnacentral:lncRNA from 12 species